GAGAGCGUGGCCUUGGCUCCCGCCGUGCAUCCCUGAUCACUAACCCUGGGGGGAACACUGCGAGGCCUUUACUGUUUCCUGCAGAGGGUGCGAGGAUGGCAAGGUAAAGCGAGGCAGGUGUUUGCAGAGGAGUUUCCGGGUACACAACACUCCCACACUGAUGAAUGAAGGCAACACACACAAGUAAACACUUCCCAACACUCUCCAACUCCAGACUCCGUCAAGAGAGUAAGACAUAAAGGAAAUUAUGCAAGUGGAGAGAAGAUCUGCUAUUCUGGGGCAGCUCAAUGAGACGCAGAGUUCCUCCUUCACUCCUCUGGGUUAAAACACUGAAUAUGACGCUUCGAGGGAACGAAAUAAGACCCGAUUUGAAUAUGGAAUCAGGACCAAAUGAAUGUGGAUUGGAGACCGCGCGCCCAUUAUUGCUCUUCUUCCCUCAAAGCCCGGCGCUGAAUCUCCCACUAACCGCAUCUGGACUUCGGUGUACCCUGUUGCUACUGCUGGAGGAGGCGCAGAAGGAGGAGGAAGAGCAGGAAGAGAGAAAGAAGAGAUGACACUUUGGAGGAGAAGGAAAGGUGAAAUGAGUGAAAAAGAAGAAAAAGGCACAGAAAGACUGACAAAGGAGGAAGGAAGAGAAAGGAUGAUACUUUUGGGUGUAGAAAGAAAAGUGAUAUGAGUGAAAAAGAAGGAAGAAAAGGAAGAAAGCCACAGGAAGACUGACAAGAAGUGAGAGGCGAUAAAGGCGCAAAAGGAGGAGGAAGAAGAGCAGGAA